UUAGUGGUGGUUCAGUGAUAGAAUUCCUGCCUUCCAUGUGGGAGGCCUGGGUUUGAUUUCUGGCCAUUACA
rnacentral:tRNA from 1 species